AGCGAACGCUGGCGGCAGGCCUAACACAUGCAAGUCGAACGAACCUUUCGGGGUUAGUGGCGGACGGGUGAGUAACACGUGGGAACGUGCCUUUAGGUUCGGAAUAACUCAGGGAAACUUGUGCUAAUACCGAAUGUGCCCUUCGGGGGAAAGAUUAAUCGCCUUUAGAGCGGCCCGCGUCUGAUUAGCUAGUUGGUUGAGGUAAUGGCUCACCAAGGCGACGAUCAGUAGCUGGUCUGAGAGGAUGAUCAGCCACAUUGGGACCGAGACACGGCCCAAAACCCUUACGGAAGCAGCAGGGGGGAAUCUUGCGCAAUGGGCGAAAGCCUGACGCAGCCAUGCCGCGUGAAUGAUGAAGGUCUUAGGAUUGUAAAAUUCUUUCACCGGGGACGAUAAUGACGGUACCCGGAGAAGAAGCCCCGGCUAACUUCGUG
rnacentral:rRNA from 1 species